GAAAUAAGCUAAGCAAAAUUAAGCUUCUAACUUAAAUUUUAAGCAGUGAAAAUCUGUUUUUAUUUCU
rnacentral:tRNA from 1 species